GGGUGGGGAUUUGUUGCACUACUUGUGUUUUUAUUAAAAGUAUUGCACUUGUCCCGGCCUGU
rnacentral:pre_miRNA from 1 species